AAAGUCAGAAGUAUUUUAAAAAAAUUAAAAAUAUGCACAAAAAAAUUUAAUUCAUGUAAAAUAUCAAAAUUAAUCCAAAAAAUAAUUUUAAUUUAGAAUAUGGAAUAGAAAAAUAUUUAAAUAUUUUUGAUGAAAGUCCCAUAUUUUUUGGAAUAAAAAUGAAAUUAAUAUGAAUUAAACAAAAUAAAAGGAUUUAAUGAAAAUUCACAAAAUAAAAAGAAAUUAGAAAAAAC
rnacentral:lncRNA from 1 species